UGCAAAAAAAUUGUCAAUAUAUAUCAUUGAUGGACAUAGUCACAAUAAUUACAUUUCCCACAAAUUUUCUAGAAACCAAGCAUAUUAAUGGGAAUUACAAGUCGCUUGGAAUCAAAUUAAGUUACAUCUGAGGGGCAAUAAGGGAACAUGAAGCACCGUCUUCAACGAGAUGUUGAAGCCAAUACCUAUACCUUCUAAACCAACUCCUCUCUUUUGCUUCAUUCAUCAUCCCAAAGUUCUCCACAGCAUUGUUUAGGAUAUUAUGAUAUAUUUUAGGAAAGUAGUUGUUAUUGUUUAGGAUUGUUUCCUAAACUCACAGUUUUUCCUUAAUUAGGUUUGCUUGAUGUACUAUAUAUUUAGGUGGAUGAAUAUCAAUUAGGGUCAAGCUCUGACCCUUUAAUCACACUUUUCACAAUACCUAUACCUUCUAAACCAACUCCUCUCUUCUGCUUGAUUCAUCAUCCCAAAGCUCUCCACGCUCAUCAUUUCCCUCAAAACUAGUUAUUAAUCCUCUUUGACAAAACCAUGGGCAACAUUUUCUCCGUCGAAAUCUCCGUUAACCAC
rnacentral:lncRNA from 1 species